CGAAAGGCAACACUAAGGCGAUAGGCUACCCUACGGCCUUAGGUGAGAGGCGAGAGGCGGGAAUGGGGACUUUUUGAAGCGGGGCGCUAUAACCUAAAUUGCCUAAAUUAUAUAUAUAUAAAGCCUCAUUUUAUUUAUACUAAAAUAUAUUAUGCAGAAAAAGAAAUUUUAAAUGUCAAACACUAUAAUUUCCAAGAUCAUAUAAAAGAUUAAUAUGCUCUCCAAAAAUAAAAUCACAGUGAAUGAUAAGAAAGUUUGGCCACUUAACACACAAAUUAUGAUGCUCCUAAACUUAGCCUUUAAAAGACCAAAGAAUAAAUAUGCUCUCUAAAAAUAGAAUCACAGUGAAUGUAAUAAGUAUAAAGAGGGACAACAAUAAUUUGAACUCAUGUCAAAGAAAUCAACCAAUAAUUUUCAAACACUGUUGCAAUACCUAUGCAUAGAGAAAGCAUAUCAUAAUACCCAUCUAACAAAAUUUGAAACAACAAAUUAAAAAAAAUCUAAUAAAAAUUAAAUGAAACAAAAAUUAAAAAAAAAAGUGUUGUGUGAUUGACAGAAUAAGAGAAGAAGAAGAGAGGAGGAGGAGAGAAGAGAAAGGAAAAAAGGUAAAAGGGGAAGAA
rnacentral:misc_RNA from 1 species